GAUGAACGCUGGCGGCGUGCUUAACACAUGCAAGUCGAACGGACUCAUAUUGAAACCUAGUGAUUUAUGAGUUAGUGGCGGACGGGUGAGUAACGCGUGGAAAACCUGCCGUAUACCGGGGGAUAACACUUAGAAAUAGGUGCUAAUACCGCAUAAGCGCACAGCUUCGCAUGAAGCAGUGUGAAAAACUCCGGUGGUAUAUGAUGGUUCCGCGUCUGAUUAGCUAGUUGGCGGGGUAACGGCCCACCAAGGCGACGAUCAGUAGCCGGCCUGAGAGGGUGGACGGCCACAUUGGGACUGAGACACGGCCCAA
rnacentral:rRNA from 1 species